rnacentral:lncRNA from 1 species
UAGGAUGGGGGUAGGUAAAAGAUAGAUAAUUUUAAGCUAAAAACUCUAGACUCAUCUUGCAUCAGACCUUCAGAAUAAAUACCUUCAAAUUCACCAACUCAUUUUGCAUUGUAUGUACUAUAAUUUUUUUGAGUACACAGGCUCUUUCUUUCUUUCUUUUUUCUCUUUUUUUAACACGGGCAUAUUAUUGUAUGUACUACAAAUUUUU